UAAUAAUACAAUUAAAUUAUUUUAGUUUUAAUAAAUUGACAAUUCUAAAUUUUAUAUAUAGAUUUAAUAAGAGAAAUUUUAAAUUUUGUUAAGAUUUAUAUUUUUUAAUGAUUUAAGAAAUUUUAGAUAUAAACUAGGAUUAGAUACCCUAUUAUUUAAAAUGUAAUUUUAAAAACUAAAUUAGUAUAAGAUAUGUUCUCGAAAAUUAAAGAUUUUGGCGGUAUUUUAGUCUAUUCAGAGGAACCUGUUCUAUAAUUGAUAGUCCACGAUUUAAUUUACUUGUUUUAUUAAUUUACAUAUCGUCGUAGUUUGAAUAUUUUAUUAGAAUUUUAAUGUUCAAGAUUUUUAAUAAUAAAAAAAAUCAGAUCAAGGUGUAGUUUAUACACAAGUAGAAAUGGGUUACUAUAAUAUAAAUUUAGGAUAAUUAUUUUUAAAGUAAUUUGAAUAAGGAUUUGAAAGUAAUUUUAAUUGAUUAAUUAAAAUGAUUUUAGCUCUAAAAU
rnacentral:rRNA from 1 species